rnacentral:rRNA from 1 species
GCAAGUCGAGGGGCAGCAUUUACUUCGGUAAAUGGCGACCGGCGCACGGGUGAGUAACGCGUAUGCAACCUACCUUUAACUGGGGCAUAGCUCGAGGAAACUCGAAUUAAUUCCCCAUAGUACAUUCUAUUAUCUCAUGAUAUAAAUGUUAAAGAUUUAUCGGUUGAAGAUGGGCAUGCGUCUGAUUAGUUUGUUGGUAAGGUAACGGCUUACCAAGACUACGAUCAGUAGGGGGUCUGAGAGGAUGAUCCCCCACACUGGUACUGAGACACGGACCAGACUCCUACGGGAGGCAGCAGUAAGGAAUAUUGGGCAAUGGGCGCAAGCCUGACCCAGCCAUGCCGCGUGCAGGAUGACGACCCUAUGGGUUGUAAACUGCUUUUAUAUAGGAAGAAAACACUCUUGCGAGAGAAACUGACGGUACUAUAUGAAUAAGGACCGGCUAACUCCGUGCCAGCAGCCGCGGUAAUACGGAGGGUUCAAGCGUUUUCCGGAUUUAUUGGGUUUAAAGAGUGCGUAGGUGGUUUAUUAAGUCAGUGGUGAAAUCCUGCAGCUCAACUGUAGAACUGCCAUUGAUACUGGUAAACUUGAGUUUGGUUUAGGUAAGUGGAAUUUAUGAUGUAGCGGUGAAAUGCAUAGAUAUCAUAAUGAACA